UUGUAUUCAAGAUUUUAAAAUGUAGUUAACUACAAAAUUUGAGUUUUAAACAUCCUAGCGAAUGCAUGCUAUUAAAUGCAUCUGUUUGAAAAUUAAUGUAUUUUCUCCUCCUAUAUGUUAACUUAAGUGUUUGUUUACCAGAUAUAAUGGGAUAUAUCUUGUUGUAAUAGAAAACUACAUGGAUCGACAAAAUGGCUACAGAAUUUACGAUAGAAAAAUGCUAUUCUAAUAGGUGGAGAUAAUCCUGAAGUCACGACCAAAGACUAGGGUUAAUCUACAGUGGAUUUAACAUCUGCCAAGUCAAACAACCAUACCCGAAAUGUGAUGAAAUUCAAGCUGAAACUACAAGAUAUAAAGUUAGAAAGGAAGUUACUUAGAAGGAUUGUUGCGUAAAGUGUGAUGCGAAUUUAUUUUGAACGAAUAUUGUUUAUUUACGAAAUUUACUUGUAUAGCUUUAAAUAAACUGCGUAGGCCUUUUAAAAGAUAAAUUGCUCAUAAAACACUAUAAGCUUGAAACUCUCCAUAUGAAAUACAAAAAAAUCUAAGUAUCAAAUAACUGUCAUAUGAAAUACAAAUAUUUAAACAGCACAAUACAUUGAGACGUGCAUAUAAAUAACCCACACGAGAAAGAAAAGCUAGUUUUAGGAAGAUAACGCGAAGAAAUUGCGUAAUAUUAGGGCAAUAAAGAAAAUCGAAGUAUAUAAAUUUUGAUUAAAACCACCACGGAAUUGAAUAUCAGCUUGAAUGGUAUUGUGCGGAUUCGGUGAUAAAAUGGAGUAUUCUAAAUGGGAUCGUUCAGCUCUGGAUAAUUAUUUGUAAGCAAACAGAAUGUUAUUGUAAUGCAACAAAAAUAAACGCUAGCUCAUCUUGGAUUUUACGGAAUGCCAGAAGAAAUAGGCUUUUGACCGUUACUUUAUCUAUCAGAGUGGGAGGAAUGCAUGUUUCUACAUAUUUCUACAAGAAUCCCAUCUCCAAGCGCAGUUGUAUUUGCUUAUGAGUACGUGUGCUAUUUAUUUUGAAAAAAGACAGAAAAUUUGUGCCAGAGACUUUACUGUCUGGAAACGGCAGGACUGGCUUGUAAACUACUGAGAUGCUGAAACGGCUGUCGCGGACUAGUAAAACAAAUUUAUCAGUUGUAUAAUGUAUGUUAAUCGAAAUCAGAGAUCGAUAUCGAUUAUAAAUAUCUGAAUUUAUUCAUAAUACAGUACAGUAAUACAAUGAAUAUGUUUUAAGCAUUAUUCACGGAAUAAUAUUGUAAAUAUAACCACAGGCACCUGUCUAGUGUGUAAUUUAUCUGAGAGUGACAUUUUACGGUAUGAUUCUUCAUUAUUAGUGCUUGUUCAGUGCACAAUAAUAACCGAUAUCUCAUUUAAUAACUUACACUGUAGUAGAAGUACGCAUCGAAUGAAAGAACAGUGAGCAAACCCUGUUGUUAUAUAGACCAGGAAUGUUAUAAGGAAAAGCAAGAGUAGAGAUAUAUACCUGAUAAGCGUUAGUUCUUACCGCCGGUGUGGGACGAUCUGAUACGGAUUAUAUAGAGAGGUUCGAACUAUCAAGGAACGUUAAUUUGAUUGAUGGAAGAGGUUACAAAACAUAACAAAAUAUUGAACAGUUGGAUAAGUAUUGGGCGUUAUCGUUAGCAGCUUCAUACAUACAUUUGUACUACUUCCACCGAUUAAAAGGAAUAAGAAAUAUUGAAGUUAUUAUUUCAUUAAAUCAUGAAAACAUAAUAAAUGUGGAUUACUGGACAUUCAGUGUACGGGUUCACAAAUAAACACUGCCAGUCAAGAUGAUAUGACGAAAAUUUGAAGUGAACAUUUAUUUGUGCAUUUUAUAAGUGCAGUAAUAAGAUUUGCAAUCUGAGUCAAGAAGACGCUGUGAUUUACGCCUGAAAUAUGCUCCGAGUUAAUUAAGAGAACGGGAGGCAAAUUUUAUGAAGAUUGGGAAAACAGAUUCAAGAACAUAAUUAUAUAAACAUAAUUAGCAUACAGAAUGUUCUGACAAAUUAGUUUUCAUGAGUUUUACCUCUGACAAAUUGCUUUUCAUGAUUCAAUCAGCGCCGAAAGUGAAAUACAAAAAAUUGACUCGGAGCAAACUGAACAUGUGCUAUCAUUAGUUUGAUCUACACAGACAGAUAAAUAAAACGGGCGCACCUGAACGAGUUUUCCUAACAACUGUAUUCUUUACAGUCAUUGGUUCAACUUACCUGGAAUUUGAAUUUCAAACUCUGCGGGGAGUGAAAGUGAAAGUAACUCUUUAUCAUUACGAGCAGUACAAAGUUUGUAAAUGAUUAUUCCAGAGUUUUUAGGGAGAGACACUAUUUAGUUUUACCAUAUAUAUUUAAGCUCAAUAGAAACUGUGGAUAUAACUCAUCAUAUCUUUAUUUCCAAGCAGUUAAAUCGAUGAUGAACAGGAGACUAUUUUCUUGUUGCACGGUAUAAUUUAUUUUUGGGCGACUUGUUGCUGUAAAGAUAUUCAAAUUAUCUGAUGAUGAACUGCAUCUUAAUACGGUUUACAACGCUAUAUUUUAUAAUCAAUGAUUGUGUAUCGGUGGAAGAUUACGAUAUGUAAAUCAUCUAUGCAAGUUUUGCAGAUUGCAUUACAUAGGAUACUGUGCCAAAUGAUGUUAUCGGCAAGUCAUUCCUAUUGUUGGGAGUGUUUUAGAUUGGAAUCACAGAUGCCCGUUAUUUAGAA
rnacentral:lncRNA from 1 species